rnacentral:snRNA from 1 species
AAACCCUCCAGCAGUGUUGCCUUAUUGACUGAAACUGGAGUAAUACAGAGAUACGCAGGGCCCUUGGGGAAGGAUGACAUUUAAACUGGUGAAAUGUUCCGUGUGUGU